rnacentral:lncRNA from 1 species
CACCUUCCUGAACGCAUCUCAGUUCGUUCGUUUCCUCUUUCAUUUACGUUCGUUUCCUCUUCCUAGACUGUGGCCACUGCCACGCAUCAUCCGGAAAACAUAUCCAUCUUCCGGAAGUCAAGUCAAAGUAUAAUACUCAUUUAGUCAAAAAAAUUCCACAUGUAUAUACCAAUUUCUCCCCACGCUCAGUAUCAUUUUCUUAUCUUGCUCUUGAAAUCACCCUGUUAUUAACUAAUUGCCUACUACCUUAUUCUCUGCAAACUUCAUAUCACUUUCUUCUUAGUUUCCAUCUUAAUUACCUCACAACAUUACCCUCCAAAGAUAGCUGGUAAACACUUCCAUGAGAUUCGAUCAAGGGUAGUUUCUUACAGCCGGUAAGCACCUAUAUAUGAUUUUGAUUUACAAUUUCUUUUUACUAUUCAAUUCACUGUCCUGCGAUAAUUUUUAUACACUAGUACUGCAACAAAUUUAUACAUGUAUCCGGUAUCCCAUGUAUACUGGUAUAUAUUUCAUUUCCUGAGCAGGGAAGGGAUGCUACAAGUGCCUGAACCAUCCUAAUGGCAGAGGCAGUCAGUUCUGCAGUUAUCCAGGAGACAGUUUGCUAAGUCCUAUCCAGUCUGGUUCAGAGGUACAAUAGGAAAGAGAAACUAAAUGCAAACGAAAACUUGGAGAGGCUAGAGAUGGCACACAUCAAGUUGGAGUCUAGUUAACAAGUUUCAU